ACAGCAUGCAUGGCGCCUGAUUUGGAGACCGGUGUUCCAUUUAGAGCCCAGGCUAUUAUUGCCAAUCCUCUAGCUUAUGGACACACACAUGUUGCUGAAGUCCUUGGGGUACCUCUUCACAUCUUCUUCACAAUGCCAUGGACGCCAACAUAUGCAUUUCCUCACCCUUUGGCAUGAGUUCCUAA